UAUAAUCCUGUCUGAAGCUCUGUGUGCCCCCCAUACUGAUGGGACUUUAGAAGAGGAGAAAAGGUUCAUUUACAACCACAUACAAGGAAGUCAACAAAAGUUACUGAAAGCUUUUUUGAGGCUUUUUUGAGACUGUGAGCUGCCAAAAGCAGCUAACUCCUCUAGCCAAAACAUUUUGCCAAGAGAUUUGCACAAAGUGUGUGUGAAGCUCCAGAAAGACCAAUCUGGAGACUUGCAUCUAAGUCUUUUGGGUUUGGGUUUUUUUCUUUUCUGGUAAAAUCUACAUACUUAAGGGAACAAUUGUCUAUGGAAACUAGUUUCCUAUCCAGUUUACAGUCUGGAAAAGCCUGAUCCUAGCUGCUGAAGUGACCCCAAAGACUGGAGAACAGGAGUCAGACUGUUUGGAGAGGUUGUCUGUGAUGAGUGAUUUCCAGAACCAGUGACAUGAUGGAGUCAUGGAACAAUCAAUGAAGAUUAACUGUCCAGAGGUUUUCAGAAAAGCUCUUAAUAUACUGCUGCAUGUUAGAAGUUGUCAGCACCCUUGGCAAGCACUAGAGAUGAACAUGAAGGAGUUGUACUUUUCUGGAUGUGAUUAA
rnacentral:lncRNA from 1 species